rnacentral:rRNA from 1 species
ACUUUAUAGUUAACCCAACCCAUAUCAUUAGUUAUAAUUUGAAACCAGAUAAUUACAUAAUAAUUAACCAAAACAUUUAUUAUUCUUAGUAUAGGCGAUAGAAAAG